GACGAACGCUGGCGGCGUGCUUAACACAUGCAAGUCGAACGGUAAGGCCCUUCGGGGUACACGAGUGGCGAACGGGUGAGUAACACGUGGGUGAUCUGCCCUGCACUUCGGGAUAAGCCUGGGCAACUGGGUCUAAUACCGGAUAGGACCACUGCCCGCAUGGGUGGUGGUGGAAAGCUUUUGCGGUGUGGGAUGGGCCCGCGGCCUAUCAGCUUGUUGGUGGGGUGAUGGCCUACCAAGGCGACGACGGGUAGCCGGCCUGAGAGGGUGACCGGCCACACUGGGACUGAGAUACGGCCCAGACUCCUACGGGAGGCAGCAGUGGGGAAUAUUGCACAAUGGGCGCAAGCCUGAUGCAGCGACGCCGCGUGAGGGAUGACGGCCUUCGGGUUGUAAACCUCUUUCAGCACCGACGAAGCGCAAGUGACGGUAGGUGCAGAAGAAGGACCGGCCAACUACGUGCCAGCAGCCGCCGUAAUAC
rnacentral:rRNA from 1 species